rnacentral:rRNA from 1 species
GACGAACGCUGGCGGCGUGCUUAACACAUGCAAGUCGAACGAUGAAGCCGGGGCUUGCUCUGGUGAAUUAGUGGCGAACGGGUGAGUAACACGUGAGUAACCUGCCCUUGACUCCGGGAUAACUGCGGGAAACUGUAGCUAAAACCGGAUACGACCCUUGGAGCCAUCACCUGGUGGGGGAAAGAAGUUCGUUCACGGCUGGAGUAGCGGCCUAUCAUGUAGUUGGUGCGUGAAAGGCUCACCAAGGCGACGACGGGUAGCCGGCCUGAGAGGGGGACCGGCCACACUGGGACUGAGACACGGCCCAGACUCCUACGGGAGGCAGCAGUGGGGAAUAUUGCACAAUGGGCGCAAGCCUGAUGCAGCAACGCCGCGUGAGGGAUGACGUCCUUCGGGUUGUAAACCUCUUUUAGCAGGGAAGAAGCGAAAGUGACGGUACCUACAGAAAAAGCACCGGCUAACUACGUGCCAGCAGCCGCGGUAA